rnacentral:rRNA from 1 species
GACGAACCGUCCGACCGUUAUUCGGAAUCACUGGGCUUAAAGGGUGCGUAGGCGGCGCGGAAAGUUGGGUGUGAAAUCCCUCGGCUUAACCGAGGAACUGCGCCCAAAACUACCGUGCUCGAGGGAGAUAGAGGUGAGCGGAACUUAGGGUGGAGCGGUGAAAUGCGUUGAUAUCCUAAGGAACACCGGUGGCGAAAGCGGCUCACUGGAUCUCUUCUGACGCUGAGGCACGAAAGCUAGGGUAGUGAACGGG